AAAGAGAGGCAAAGCCGCGAGGCGGAGCGAAUCUCAAAAAGCCGUCCCAGUUCGGAUUGCAGGCUGCAACCCGCCUGAAUAAAGUUGGAAUCGCUAGUAAUCGCGGAUCAGCAUGCCGCGGUGAAUACGUUCCCGGGCCUUGUACACACCGCUCGUCAAACCAUGAGAGUUGGCAACACCCGAAGUCGGUAGUCUAACCGCAAGGAGGACGCCGCCGAAGGUGGGGUUGAUGAUUAGGGUUAAGUCGUAACAAGGUAAC
rnacentral:rRNA from 1 species